CAGUGUAUACACAACGUACAACAGGAUAUCUUAAAAAGAUGGCAUCCGCCGCUCCUUGUACUCUGUUAAUUUUAGACAAAAACUGAAGACAAAAACCUCAAAAAACCCAAAUGCUUGAAAAAUCGGAAAAAUACUAAGAUCACCUUAAUAAAAUAGUGAUUUUACCAACAAAAUGUACAAAAAGUGUUAAUCAGAACAAAAAAGAAAGAAAUUUAAAAAAAUUGUUUAAUUAACUGAAAUUGUUCUCAAUCAUAAAAAAGGUUCGAAAGUGGACCCACGCUCGCCAGAUUUGAGUAACUUCAAAAACGUACUUCAAUAAAAGACUAAAAAAACCUCUUUUUCAUUCUUAUUAACACUUCUAUGAAAAAAAUGACUUACUUGAAAAGAGUAGUUUGAGUAUAGAUACGUUUAUUCACGCACAGAGUUACUUUAUAACAGCCAGGGUUUUACUAGUUUACAAGGUAUUUAUAUGAUUGCAACCAGACAGCGGAAGGUAUUGCGAAUAAUAUUUUGGCAACAAUAUUUUGCGUAAGGCUGGGUAGUUUGCGUAUACAGUAGAUGCGUCAUGUUAAAGGUUGGAUUUGAAAGAUAGAAGAUUUGUGAAAAUAUUGACACACAUGCAUAACUAGAAUGACUUCUACACGAGACGAAUCCUUUCUCAUUUAAAUGUACAUGGUACAGCCCUUUAUGUCCAAUGUUAAGGAGACUUUCACUCAUGCAUGCCAAGUCCAUUAGCGCCUGAUCCAAUCAGGGUUCAGUCAUGUGUUUGGUGUCUAUUCUGAACCAAUAAAAAAGUAUGGUGGUAACAUCUAUCUUUCUAUCUAUCUCAAUUUCCAAUUAGUGAAUCCUUCAUUCGGUGCUAUCAGCAAAUGGAAAUAUUAUUUUCUGUGUACAAUUUCCCUUUAUAUUUUGUGUAUAAAAUGUCUCCGACGAUCAAGUACAUUGUGGUUCACCCUGUAUUAUCCCGUAAACAUGUUUUCCUUUGAUUAUUGUAAAAGAGGGGAUACAUGUAUGUACUGUAGGAGUGAAUGUGGAGGAUAUGAAAGUGAUGAGAGCAGUUCAAAUCUUCAACCAAGACCCUUCUAUCAACCUUAUAAUAAUCAAUUUUAACUCAGAGAAGAAGAAGAAUUAACUACCAAAGAUUUAAAAAUAGUCAACAACCUUAUUAGUCAGUAUAUAGUCAAUAUAGUCAGGAUAAAGUUCUACAAAGACAAAUUAGAGUGAAAAAAAAACUAUAAUAGUUACAUAAAAGAGUACAGUGAAUUCAUAGAAAUAAUAUAAACAGUACGGAAUCAUGAAAAUCUAAAUAAAUGUUUGUUAAACAUUUUAACAAACUGUUGUGGUCUUUAAUCCUGAAACUCUGGAAUUCUGGAUUGGUGGAAUUUGAAUCUAUGGAAUUCUGAAACUAUGGAAUUCUGAAACUAUGGGCUUCUGAAACUAUGGACUUCUGAAACUAUGGAAUUCUGAAACUAUGGAAUUCUGAAACCAUGGAAUUCUUAAACUAUGGACUUCUGAAAAUAUGGAAUUUUGAAACUAUGGAGUUCUGAAACUAUGGCCGGAAUCCUGGAAACAUGGAUUUCUGAAACAACGAAAUAUUGAAACUGGAAUCCUGAAACUAUGGAAUCCUUGAACUAUGGAAUUCUGAAACUUUGGAAUUCUGAAACCAUGGAAUUCUGAAACUAUGAAACUCUGAGUAAUCAAAAAUAGAAAGAAUCAAACACCGAAAAUACAAAAAUUAAGGUUAGUUAUCAGCACUGUUCAGAAUCAUUUCAAUACCCUUAUCCACCAGCCUUCCUACCCCCCGCACCUCCCCCCAGUCUGCCAGAAACAGUAUUAAAGUUGAACUAUGCAAAAAUAAACCUGAUAACUUUCAUAAAGUGAUUUAAGAAAGAUAAUUAGAAAAAGAAUAUGAAACAUUGUAGCGUGGUGGUCGGCGUUUGUAUCAAUUCAAUAACAUUUUUUAAAUUAUAAUUUUACACGCAAAACAAAGCAAAAUCAAAAUAUAAAGUCAAAUCAUUGUAUUGAUAUAUACGACAACAAGACUGUAGAAAAUUCAUUGAUCUGUGAUUUGAGCUCUCAUGCAAGUUGACAUUAGACUUCAGAAUUUUACAAAGCUAUAAAAUAAUAGUUGAUUAAUCCUUAUUUAUAAACACAAGGUAUGUUUACUCUGCGCUCAUAGUAGACAUUGUAAACUGUACUUUAUUUACUCACAUCAAACUUAUCUGAUGGUGUAAACCUUUGAUUUUUCAAAUUUUAACUAUAUGAUCAAACAGAGUUUAUAGUUUGUAAAUCAAAGAUUGCCAACAUUAGGAUGGUAUAAGGAUUAGAAAAUUAGAGAAUGAGGACUGAUGAGCUUGUCGUUCAGCAAGAAGUCAGAACUCUUGUGUUAGAUGCCCUCAUUGGAUAUCGAGAUCAUGCGUUCAAAAUUAACCAUACUCCAGAAAAAAAUUCUGACCUCAACUUUAGAUUUAGAAACUUUAUAUUUUUAAUUUCAUUUAGAAAUUUUCAUUAUUUAGAAUAUAUCCUGGCUUUAUCAAACUAUGUAAUUUCUGUAAAAAAAGAUUAAACUUUAAAAAAUAAUAAUAAAAAGAGUUUGAUCAAAAUUUAAAAGUAAUUCAAG
rnacentral:lncRNA from 1 species